GCGGGGCGGGUGCUACCAUGCAGUCGAACGCUGAAGCCUGGUGCUUGCACCGGGUGGAUGAGUGGCGAACGGGUGAGUAAUACGUGAGUGACCUGCCUUUGACUCUGGGAUAAGCCUGGGAAACUGGGUCUAAUACCGGAUGCGACUACUGCCCGCAUGGGCUGGUGGUGGAAAGGGUUAUGUACUGGUCUUAGAUGGGCUCACGGCCUAUCAGCUGGUUGGUGGGGUAAUGGCCUACCAAGGCGACGACGGGUAGCCGGCCUGAGAGGGUGACCGGCCACACUGGGACUGAGACACGGCCCAGACUCCUACGGGAGGCAGCAGUGGGGAAUAUUGCACAAUGGGCGCAAGCCUGAUGCAGCGACGCCGCGUGAGGGAUGACGGCCUUCGGGUUGUAAACCUCUUUCAGCAGGGAAGAAGCGGAAGUGACGGUACCUGCAGAAGAAGCGCCGGCUAACUACGUGCCAGCAGCCGCGGUAAUACGUAGGGCGCAAGCGUUGUCCGGAAUUAUUGGGCGUAAAGAGCUCGUAGGCGGCUUGUCGCGUCUGCUGUGAAAGCCCGGGGCUUAACUCCGGGUGUGCAGUGGGUACGGGCAGGCUAGAGUGCAGUAGGGGUAACUGGAAUUCCUGGUGUAGCGGUGAAAUGCGCAGAUAUCAGGAGGAACACCGAUGGCGAAGGCAGGUUACUGGGCUGUUACUGACGCUGAGGAGCGAAAGCAUGGGGAGCGAACAGGAUUAGAUACCCUGGUAGUCCAUGCCGUAAACGUUGGGCACUAGGUGUGGGGGACAUUCCACGUUUUCCGCGCCGUAGCUAACGCAUUAAGUGCCCCGCCUGGGGAGUACGGCCGCAAGGCUAAAACUCAAAGGAAUUGACGGGGGCCCGCACAAGCGGCGGAGCAUGCGGAUUAAUUCGAUGCAACGCGAAGAACCUUACCAAGGCUUGACAUACACCGGAUCGUUCCAGAGAUGGUUCUUCCCUUUUGGGCUGGUGUACAGGUGGUGCAUGGUUG
rnacentral:rRNA from 1 species